GGAUAGAAGCCCGCUGGCUUGCGUAUUUAGCUGUUAACUAGAAUUUUACGGGAUCAAGGCCCGUCUAUCCUG
rnacentral:tRNA from 1 species